GUGACGAAAGUCCCCGUGUCUGACGGGUGAGGAGUUCACGUACCGGCUGA
rnacentral:snoRNA from 1 species